rnacentral:rRNA from 1 species
GGCUCAGGAUGAACGCUGGCGGUCUGCUUAACACAUGCAAGUCGAACGGACGUCUUCGGACGUUAGUGGCGGACGGGUGAGUAACGCGUGAGAAUCUACCCUCAGGAUGGGGACAACAGUUGGAAACGACUGCUAAUACCCGAUGUGCCGAGAGGUGAAAGUAAUUCGCCUGAGGAUGAGCUCGCGUCAGAUUAGCUAGUUGGUGAGGUAACGGCUCACCAAGGCGACGAUCUGUAGCUGGUCUGAGAGGAUGAUCAGCCACACUGGGACUGAGACACGGCCCAGACUCCUACGGGAGGCAGCAGUGGGGAAUUUUCCGCAAUGGGCGAAAGCCUGACGGAGCAAGACCGCGUGGGGGAUGAAGGUUUGUGGAUUGUAAACCCCUUUUGUCAGGGAAGAACACAAUGACGGUACCUGACGAAUAAGCCUCGGCUAACUCCGUGCCAGCAGCCGCGGUAAUACGGAGGAGGCAAGCGUUAUCCGGAAUUAUUGGGCGUAAAGCGUCCGUAGGUGGUUUAGAAAGUCUGCUGUCAAAGGCUGGGGCUUAACUCCAGACAGGCAGUGGAAACUACUAGACUAGAGUGCGGUAGGGGCAGAGGGAAUUCCCAGUGUAGCGGUGAAAUGCGUAGAUAUUGGGAAGAACACCGGUGGCGAAAGCGCUCUGCUGGACCUGUACUGACACUGAGGGACGAAAGCUAGGGGAGCGAAAGGGAUUAGAUACCCCUGUAGUCCUAGCCGUAAACGAUGGAAACUAGGUGUUGCCCGUAUCGACCCGGGCAGUGCCGUAGCUAACGCGUUAAGUUUCCCGCCUGGGGAGUACGCUCGCAAGAGUGAAACUC